UGACAGGAGUGCCACUCCACAUUAGAGCUCAGUGGAGAUCUGUUUAUGGGGCACGAUGCCUCCUUCCUCCCUCUCUUUGAGGAGACCGAUAUUUAGUUGGCCAAUAGGACGGAUGAUAGAAGUGGGUUACACACUCGCCGAUGAAUUCUCACAAGGCACCCGGACAUGCGUCCCCUGUAUCUGAGUCUUCCCUUCACGCGACUGACAGGGAUUUGGUCCUUGUCGGGUAUCUGGAGUAAAUCCUUUGCGUCUGACUCGUUAAAGAAAAAAUCUUCGUCCAGUACGAGCUCUGCAGGUACCCCUGCUCUUUGCUGUGUACUGAUCCUGUCAGCAGUAGCAGACCGAUGCCCACUGCUGAUAUCAGGGACAGCUUCAUGCUGGCUCACUGGACCACACUCCUCUUGUCUCCUAGCUCCUCUCCUCUCCUUCCCUCCCCCCUCUGCUCCCCUCCUUUUUUC
rnacentral:lncRNA from 1 species